GUCCUCUUGUUUGUAUAUGAGGUUUGACCUGCCCGGUGAAAUUAUUUUAACGGCCGCAGUAUUUUGACUGUGCAAAGGUAGCAUAAUCAUUAGUCUUUUAAUAGGGGGCUGGAAUGAAGGGUUUGACGAGGUGUUAACUGUCUCAUUAAAUUUGUUAUUAAAAUUUAACUUUUCAGUCAAAAGGCUGAAAUUAUAUUGGAAGACGAGAAGACCCUAUAGAGUUUUAUAAUUUAAAGUUUAAUUAUUAUUUGUUUAUUAUUUUUUAUUAUUCUUUUAAUUAUUUUGUUGGGGUGACAAAAAUAUAAAAUUAACUUUUUUAUUUAAUUAACAUUGAUUAAUGAAUAUUAGAUCCAAUCUUAUUGAUUGUUAGAUUAAGUUACC
rnacentral:rRNA from 1 species